UGCAGGGGGAGGGCAGCACGGAGCUCAGGCUGGGCUGGGUGACCCCACCUGCACUCAGUUGCAUCUGUGUGCGUGCUCACCUGGCGCGGGCCCCCGGUGCCUGUCCUGUCCCUGCUGCCCCUCCUGGAGCUGCUCAGCCCCAAGUUUGCAGCCAACAUAAGGCUUUAGCUUCUUUUUCCCAUUUCAGUUCUCUGAUCAGACCAAUCCAGGAAUGGUUUGUUAUCUGGAUGCCUGUCUGCAGCAGGAACACCCCAUAGGCUUAAAAUGAAGCGAGGCAGUGUGCAGGUAAAUGAUUAUUUAAGCUAUGCUUAAGGCUGUGCCUUUUGCUGUGGUCACUGCGAGUAACCGAGAGAUGGCACUGUGCCGGUGCUGAGCGGGAGGCCGGGAGCGGUGGUGGGGAGCACUUCCCGUGAUCAGAAUGCACUGACUGCUGCCUGAAGGGGGACCGUAACACGUAGGCUGCAAUCAGAUUGUUGAUGACUUUGUUGAUAAUUUUUUUCAAGAUUCAGCCUUGUGGUGGCAUUUUCAAAUGAAGCGGCAAUUUGUGCCUUUGAAAAUUCCAUGCUCUUACGGAUAAACUGGGAAUGCUUCCGAGGUGUUCUGCGGCAGGAGCGUCACAGGGCACAAAAUAUGCUAGAAAAUCCCCAGAGCAACAACUGUGGGGGUCUCUCCCAAGACUCGUUACUCUGAGGAGGCCUCCUGUGAGCAAGAAGCCGGUUCCUCUGAACAGGGCCAGCUGCACCAAGCCUGGGUCCCCCAGCUGUGCUUCUUGAGGAGGAAGAAACUAAAGCUCCAGACCAGCAUGUUCGUAGGCUCAAAGGACUGGAUGUGAACCUAGGCUUCUACACGUCAGUCAGGAGUGCAGUGCUGGGCAGCAUGAGUCUACAGCCAGCCCUGCCACGCUGAGCUACCAACAGCCUGGGUUGACUCUGCCGGAGUUCAUAGCACUGCAAAGGUGUAAAAUGCAGGGGAAUCAGUACAGAACGAGGAGUGCUAGGAAGAACUGUCAGACAUUCUGCUGUACCGAGAUCUUUGGAAGAUGGAGAUGUGUGUUUAAAUACAGCCAUAUGUGUUUGACAGAGUCUCAGGAAUAAAACCUAAUGACCCUCUCUUAAAAUGUGCAUGAUGUGAACCUUACCAAAGCUAGGGAUCACAACACUGGCAUUGCUAUUCCACACACCAGCAUCACUUAGGAGAUGUUCUGGAGCAUUUAUCUGCUGGUGGGAUUGAGGAGCUGCCGGUCUGUGGGAUGUGACUUCGGGCCAAGUAUGGUCAGAAGAGCUGCUGGGAAAGUGUCCCAAACCAGAGCUGGAAGUCUGAAGUGCUGAUGCAGUAAUGCAGCUGUCAGUGCAGCGGUUCGGAAGAUGGGCCCUGUGCUGGGAGAGGAGGAUGCCCCGGUGCUGCAGGACGCGCAGCAGGCUGGGAUAGAGGCCGCAGUCCUGCUUCAGGAAGGGAGGUAAGGGCCUCUGGGGUACGGGAGGAAGCCUGAGGCUGUAGCUGCGGGCGCUUUUAUUCUGGAGAUGUUAAUCGGCACCUAUAGCUCUGCCAGCAUCCUUCUCACCGCUCUGUGGGGCUGCGCGGC
ensembl:lncRNA